GACGAACGCUGGCGGCGUGCCUAAUACAUGCAAGUCGAACGAGAGCGACCGGUGCUUGCACUGGUCAAUCUAGUGGCGAACGGGUGAGUAACACGUGGGUAACCUGCCCAUCAGAGGGGGAUAACAUCCGGAAACGGAUGCUAAAACCGCAUAGGUCUUCGAGCCGCAUGGCUUGAAGAGGAAAAGAGGCGCAAGCUUCUGCUGAUGGAUGGACCCGCGGUGCAUUAGCUAGUUGGUGAGGUAACGGCUCACCAAGGCCGUGAUGCAUAGCCGACCUGAGAGGGUGAUCGGCCACAUUGGGACUGAGACACGGCCCAAACUCCUACGGGAGGCAGCAGUAGGGAAUCUUCCGCAAUGGACGCAAGUCUGACGGAGCAACGCCGCGUGAGUGAAGAAGGUUUUCGGAUCGUAAAACUCUGUUGUUAGAGAAGAACAAGUGCUAGAGUAACUGUUAGCG
rnacentral:rRNA from 1 species